rnacentral:rRNA from 1 species
AUUGAACGCUGGCGGAAUGCUUUACACAUGCAAGUCGGACGGCAGCGCGGACUUCGGUCUGGCGGCGAGUGGCGAACGGGUGAGUAAUGUGUCGGAACGUGCCAAGUAAUGGGGGAUAACGCAGCGAAAGCUGUGCUAAUACCGCAUACGCUCUGAGGAGGAAAGCGGGGGACCUUCGGGCCUCGCGUUAUUUGAGCGGCCGACAUCUGAUUAGCUAGUUGGCGGGGUAAAGGCCCACCAAGGCGACGAUCAGUAGCGGGUCUGAGAGGAUGAUCCGCCACACUGGGACUGAGACACGGCCCAGACUCCUACGGGAGGCAGCAGUGGGGAAUUUUGGACAAUGGGGGCAACCCUGAUCCAGCCAUUCCGCGUGUCUGAAGAAGGCCUUCGGGUUGUAAAGGACUUUUGUCCGGGAGCAAAGCCUGCUGGUUAAUAACCGGCGGGGAUGAGAGUACCGGAAGAAUAAGCACCGGCUAACUACGUGCCAGCAGCCGCGGUAAUACGUAGGGUGCGAGCGUUAAUCGGAAUUACUGGGCGUAAAGCGUGCGCAGGCGGUAUUGCAAGUCUGAUGUGAAAGCCCCGGGCUUACCCUGGGACGGCAUUGGAAACUGCAAAACUAGAGUACGUCACAGGGGGGUAGAAUUCCACGUGUACCAAUGAAAUGCGUAAAGAUGUGGAGGAAUACCGAUGGCGAGGCAGCCCCCCUGGGAUGAUCUGACGCUCUGCACGAAGCGUGGGGAGGCAACAGAUAAAUACCCUGGUAUCCACGCCCUAACGAGUCCAUAGCUGGUGGGGG